rnacentral:pre_miRNA from 1 species
UUUGGCGUUGUAGACUGCCGGCAUUUCUUUCUGUAUAUAUAUAUAUAUAUAUAUAUAUUAUAUAUACAGAAAGAAAUGCCGGCAGUCUACAACGCCAAA